rnacentral:rRNA from 2 species
UCAAGUUAUUAAGGGUGCAGGGCGGAUGCCUUGGCACUAGGAGCCGAUGAAGGACGUGAUAAGCUGCGAUAAGCUUCGGGGAGUUGCACGUAAACUUUGAUCCGAAGAUUUCCGAAUGAGGAAACUCACUUAGAGUAAUGUCUAAGUAUCAUUAAGUGAAUACAUAGCUUAAUGAGGGGAACUCAGGGAACUGAAACAUCUAAGUACCUGAAGGAAGAGAAAGAAAUUCGAUUCCGUAAGUAGCGGCGAGCGAACGCGGAUUAGCCCAAACCAAUAAAGUUUUCUUUAUUGGGGUUGCGGACAUAUCAUAACGAAGAGGUAUCGUAAUUGAAGAGGUUUGGAAAGACCCACCACAGAAGGUAAUAGUCCUGUAUGUUAAACGAGAAGACUUUAGAUAUGAUCCAGAGUACCACGGGACACGUGAAACCCUGUGGGAAGCAGGAGGGACCACCCUCCAAGGCUAAAUACUACCUAGUGACCGAUAGCGUAUAGUACCGUGAGGGAAAGGUGAAAAGAACCCCGGGAGGGGAGUGAAAUAGAACCUGAAACCCUGCACUUACAAGCUGUGGAAGCACAUUUCUUGUGUGACCGCGUACUUUUUGUAGAACGGGCCAACGAGUUACGUUAAGUAGCAAGGUUAAGCACUUAAGGUGCGGAGCCGUAGCGAAAGCGAGUUUUAACUGAGCGUUCAGUUACUUGACGUAGACCCGAAACCGGGCGACCUACCCAUGAGCAGGAUGAAGCGAAAGUAAAAUUUCGUGGAGGUCCGAACCCACGAGCGUUGAAAAGCUCGGGGAUGACUUGUGGGUAGCGGUGAAAUUCCAAUCGAGCCCGGAGAUAGCUGGUUCUCCCCGAAAUAGCUUUAGGGCUAGCCUCAAGGUGAGAGAUACGGAGGUAGAGCACUGAAUGUCCUAGGGGGUAUUGCACCUACCGAAGACUAUCAAACUCCGAAUGCCGUCAUCUUAUACUUGGGAGUCAGACUGUGGGUGAUAAGAUUCAUAGUCGAAAGGGCAACAGCCCAGAUCGUCAGCUAAGGUCCCUAAAUGUAAGUUAAGUGGUAAAGGAUGUGGGAUUGCACAGACAACCAGGAUGUUGGCUUAGAAGCAGCCACUCAUUCAAAGAGUGCGUAAUAGCUCACUGGUCGAGUGAUCCUGCGCCGAAGAUUUCCGGGGCUAAAACUUACUACCGAAGCUACGGCAUCAGUAAUGAUGGGUAGGGGAGCUUCCCAUACGGGUUGAAGCAUGACCGUAAGGACAUGUGGACAGUAUGGGAGUGAGAAUGUUGGCAUGAGUAGCGAGAUGUGGGUGAGAAUCCCACAGGCCGUAAACCCAAGGUUUCCAGGGGAAGGUUCGUCCGCCCUGGGUUAGUCGGGACCUAAGCUGAGGCCGAAAGGCGUAGGUGAUGGACAACAGGUUGAUAUUCCUGUACUACCGAUAACUGUUUGAGAGAAGGGAUGACACAGUAGGAUAAGCUAAGCACACUGUUGGUUAUGUGUGCCCAAGCAUUGAGGCAGUCAAAGUAGGCAAAUCCGCUUUGAUAAUGCUGGGAUGUGAUGGGGAGCGAAAUUUAGUAGCGAAGUAGCUGAUUUCACACUGUCAAGAAAAGUCUCUAUCGAGGUUAAAGGUACCCGUACCGCAAACCGACACAGGUGGGUGAGGAGAGUAUCCUAAGGCCAGCGAGAGAACUGUUGUUAAGGAACUCGGCAAAAUGACCCCGUAACUUAGGGAUAAGGGGUGCCACCAUCAGGUGGCCGCAGAGAAUAGGCCCAAGCGACUGUUUACCAAAAACAUAGGUUUCUGCUAAGUCGCAAGACGAUGUAUAGGAGCUGACGCCUGCCCGGUGCUGGAAGGUUAAGGGGAUCUGUUAGAGCAAUCGAAGCAGUGAACUUAAGCCCCAGUAAACGGCGGCCGUAACUAUAACGGUCCUAAGGUAGCGAAAUUCCUUGUCGGGUAAGUUCCGACCCGCACGAAAGGCGUAACGAUUUGGGCACUGUCUCAACAACAGACUCGGUGAAAUUGUAAUUCCGGUGAAGAUGCCGGAUACCUGCGACAGGACGGAAAGACCCCAUGGAGCUUUACUGUAGCUUGACAUUGGGUCUUGGUACUACAUGUACAGGAUAGGUGGGAGGCUUUGAAACCAGGACGCCAGUUUUGGCGGAGCCAUCCUUGGGAUACCACCCUUGUAGUACUGGGACUCUAACCAUAGGCCAUGAAUCUGGUCUUGGGACACUGUCAGGUGGGCAGUUUGACUGGGGCGGUCGCCUCCCAAAAGGUAACGGAGGCGCUCAAAGGUUCUCUCAGUACGGUCGGAAAUCGUACGUAGAGUGUAAAGGCAAAAGAGAGCUUGAUUGCAAGACAUACAGGUCGAGCAAGGAUGAAAAUCGGACUUAGUGAUCCGGUGGUUCUGCGUGGAAGGGCCAUCGCUCAACGGAUAAAAGCUACCCUGGGGAUAACAGGCUUAUCUCCCCCAAGAGUCCACAUCGACGGGGAGGUUUGGCACCUCGAUGUCGGCUCAUCACAUCCUGGGGCUGUAGUAGGUCCCAAGGGUUGGGCUGUUCGCCCAUUAAAGUGGUACGCGAGCUGGGUUCAGAACGUCGUGAGACAGUUCGGUCCCUAUCCGUCGCAGGCGUAGGAAAUUUGAGAAGACCUGUCCUUAGUACGAGAGGACCGGGAUGGACGUACCUCUGGUGUACCAGUUGUCCUGCCAAGGGCAUGGCUGGGUAGCUAUGUGCGGAAUGGAUAAGCGCUGAAAGCAUCUAAGCGCGAAGCCAACUUCAAGAUAAGAUUUCCCACCGCAAGGGUAAGACCCCAGAAAGACUAUCUGGUUGAUAGGUCGAAGGUGUAAGUGCAGCAAUGUAUUUAGCUUAUCGAUACUAAUAGGUCGAGGACUUGACCAA